rnacentral:rRNA from 1 species
UAGUCAGAAUCCGUGCUAGAAACGAUGAUGUUGGUGUCGCACAUUAGACUUGUGUUUAAAUAGAGCUUUGCUCGUGAACCAAAUAUGGUGGGCUGGGUUGUCUUUGCGGAAACGCUUAGGCGACUUGUCUACGAAUUGUAAUCAUAAUAUGGGCGGCGGUGAAUCCUUUGCAGACGACUUGAAUGGGAACGGGGUACUGUAAGUGGUAGAGUAGCCUUGUUGCUACGAUCCACUGAGGUUAAGCCCUUGUUCUAAAGAUUUGUUCA